CAGCAGCCGCGGGAAUACAGAGGGUGCGAGCGUUAAUCGGAUUUACUGGGCGUAAAGCGUGCGUAGGCGGCUUCUUAAGUCGGAUGUGAAAUCCCUGAGCUUAACUUAGGAAUUGCAUUCGAUACUGGGAAGCUAGAGUAUGGGAGAGGAUUGUAGAAUUCCAGGUGUAACGGUGAAAUGCGUAGAGAUCUGGAGGAAUACCGAUGGCGAAGGCAGCCAUCUGGCCUAAUACUGACGCUGAGGUACGAAAGCAUGGGGAGCAAACAGGAUUAGAUACCCGCGUAGUCCCUGUCUCUUAUAC
rnacentral:rRNA from 1 species